rnacentral:rRNA from 1 species
AGUGGCGAACGGGUGAGUAACAUAUCGGAACGUACCAUUGAGUGGGGGAUAACGUAGCGAAAGUUACGCUAAUACCGCAUAUUCUCUCCGGAGGAAAGCAGGGGCUCGCAAGACCUUGCGCUCAUUGAGCGGCCGAUAUCAGAUUAGCUAGUUGGUGAGGUAACGGCCCACCAAGGCGACGAUCUGUAGCGGGUCUGAGAGGAUGAUCCGCCACACUGGAACUGAGACACGGUCCAGACUCCUACGGGAGGCAGCAGUGGGGAAUUUUGGACAAUGGGGGCAACCCUGAUCCAGCCAUGCCGCGUGAGUGAAGAAGGCCUUCGGGUUGUAAAGCUCUUUCAGCCGGGAAGAAAAUGCAUGGAUUAAUACCCUGUGCAGAUGACGGUACCGGAAUAAGAAGCACCGGCUAACUACGUGCCAGCAGCCGCGGUAAUACGUAGGGUGCGAGCGUUAAUCGGAAUUACUGGGCGUAAAGCGUGCGCAGGCGGUUGGUUAAGAUAGGCGUGAAAUCCCCGGGCUCAACCUGGGAACUGCGCUUAUGACUGGUCAGCUAGAGUACGGCAGAGGGGGGUGGAAUUCCACGUGUAGCAGUGAAAUGCGUAGAGAUGUGGAGGAACACCAAUGGCGAAGGCAGCCCCCUGGGUCGAUACUGACGCUCAUGCACGAAAGCGUGGGUAGCAAACAGGAUUAGAUACCCUGGUAGUCCACGCCCUAAACGAUGUCAACUAGGUGU